CCUACGGGAGGCUGCAGUGGGGGAUAUUGCACAAUGGGGGGAACCCUGAUGCAGCGACGCCGCGUGGGUGAAGGAGUAUUUCGGUAUGUAAAGCCCUAUCGGCAUGGAAGAAUUUAGACGGUACCUGACUAAGAAGCCCCGGCUAACUACGUGCCAGCAGCCGCGGUAAUACGUAGGGGGCCAGCGUUAUCCGGAUUCACUGGGUGGAAAGGGAGCGUAGACGGCCCGGCCAACCUGGGGUUAAAGCCCGGGGCCCAACCCCGGGACUGCUCUGGGAACUGUCCGGAUGGAGAGCGGGAGGGGCAGGCGGGAUUCCUGGUGUAGGGGUGAAAUGCGUAGAUAACAGGAGG
rnacentral:rRNA from 1 species